UACGUAGGGUGCGAGCGUUAAUCGGAAUUACUGGGCGUAAAGUGUGCGCAGGCGGCAGAGCAAGUCGAGUGUGAAAGCCCCGGGCUUAACUUGGGAAUUGCGCUCGAAACUACUUUGCUGGAGUGUGGCAGAGGAAGGUGGAAUUCCACGUGUAGCGGUGAAACGCGUAGAGAUGUGGAGGAACACCAAUGGCGAAGGCAGCCUUCUGGGCCAACACUGACGCUCAUGCACGAAAGCGUGGGGAGCAAACAGGA
rnacentral:rRNA from 1 species